GUGCCGGUGGCACAUAAAAAGCACCAUCCAAGUGUGGUCAAUACCAGUCCAGCCUGACUGGCCCAUGUGCUGGUGGCAUGUAAAAAGCACCCACUAAACUCUCAGAGUUGUUGGCAUUAGGAACAGCAUGACACUGUAAAAACCUUGCCAGAUCAGACUGGAGCCUGG